AUUGAACGCUGGCGGCAUGCUUUACACAUGCAAGUCGAACGGUAACAGGUCUUCGGAUGCUGACGAGUGGCGAACGGGUGAGUAAUACAUCGGAACGUGCCUAGUAGUGGGGGAUAACUACUCGAAAGAGUAGCUAAUACCGCAUGAGAUCUACGGAUGAAAGCAGGGGACCUUCGGGCCUUGUGCUACUAGAGCGGCUGAUGGCAGAUUAGGUAGUUGGGGGGGUAAAGGCUUACCAAGCCUGCGAUCUGUAGCUGGUCUGAGAGGGCGACCAGCCACACUGGGACUGAGACACGGCCCAGACUCCUACGGGAGGCAGCAGUGGGGAAUUUUGGACAAUGGGCGAAGGCCUGAUCCAGCAAUGCCGCGUGCAGGAUGAAGGCCCUCGGGUUGUAAACUGCUUUUGUACGGAACGAAAAGCCUGGGGCUAAUAUCCCCGGGUCAUGACGGUACCGUAAGAAUAAGCACCGGCUAACUACGUGCCAGCCGCCGCCGUAA
rnacentral:rRNA from 1 species